rnacentral:sRNA from 2 species
ACUCAACGAAAUUUUUAACAACGGGUAAGUCCGUUUGGUAAAAGCAAGCUUUCUUGAAAAGAUCCUUGAGCCAAAGGUUAGCCCAAAUCCUGUUUAUAUAGGAGUUU